CGCGACCCCAGGUCAGUCGGGACUACCCGCCGAAUUUAAGCAUAUAAAUAA
rnacentral:rRNA from 1 species